rnacentral:rRNA from 1 species
AGAGUGAACGCUGGCGGUAGGCCUAACACAUGCAAGUCGAACGGCAGCACAGUGGUAGCAAUACCAUGGGUGGCGAGUGGCGGACGGGUGAGGAAUACAUCGGAAUCUACCUUUUCGUGGGGGAUAACGUAGGGAAACUUACGCUAAAUACCGCAUACGCCCUUUGGGGGAAAGCCGGGGAUCGCAAGACCUGGCGCGGAUAGAUGAGCCGAUGUCGGAUUAGCUAGUUGGUGAGGUAAUGGCUCACCAAAGGCGACGAAUCCGUAGCUGGUCUGAGAGGAUGAUCAGCCACACUGGAACUGAGACACGGUCCAGACUCCUACGGGAGCAGCAGUGGGAAAUAUGG